rnacentral:rRNA from 1 species
AGCAGCCGCGGUAAUUCCAGCUCCAAUAGCGUAUAUUAAAGUUGUUGCAGUUAAAAAGCUCGUAGUUGAACUUCGGGAUUUGUUCAUUGGUCAGGCUUCACUGUCUGUACUGGUGUAACGAAUUCCUACCUUCUGAUGAAUCUUCAUGCCAUUCACUUGGUGCGGAGGGGAAUCAGGACUGUUACUUUGAAAAAAUUAGAGUGUUUAAAGCAGGCUAUUGCUCGAAUACAUUAGCAUGGAAUAAUAGAAUAGGACGGUUGGUUCUAUUUUGUUGUUUUCUAGGAUCACCGUAAUGAUUAAUAGGGAUAGUUGGGGGCAUUAGUAUUCAAUUGUCAGAGGUGAAAUUCUUGGAUUUAUUGAAGACUAACUACUGCGAAAGCAUUUGCCAAGGAUGUUUUCAUUAAUCAAGAACGAAAGUUAGGGGAUCGAAGACGAUCAGAUACCGUCGUAGUCUUAACCAUAAACUAUGCCGACUAGGGAUCGGACGAAGUUAAUUUUUAAAUGACUCG